rnacentral:rRNA from 1 species
AAUGAACGUUGGCGGCGUGGAUUAGGCAUGCAAGUCGAGCGAGAACCGUAGCAAUACGGGGACAGCGGCGAAAGGGACAGUAAUGUGUAGGUACCUACCCCUGGGUUCGGGAUAGCUGCGGGAGACUGCAGGUAAUACCGAAUAAUGUCUACGGACCAAAGGUGUGAUUCCACCUGGGGAGGGGCCUGCAUCCUAUUAGCUUGUUGGCGGGGUAACGGCCUACCAAGGCAACGAUGGGUAGCGGGUGUGAGAGCACGACCCGCGUCAUUGGGACUGAGAUACUGCCCAGACACCUACGGGUGGCUGCAGUCGAGGAUCUUCGGCAAUGGGCGAAAGCCUGACCGAGCGACGCCGCGUGCGGGAUGAAGGCCUUCGGGUUGUAAACCGCUGUCGUUGGGGAGGAAGUGCAGGGGGGUUCUCCCCUCUGUUUGACCUAUCCAAGGAGGAAGUACGGGCUAAGUUCGUGCCAGCAGCCGCCGAAA